CUGGUAAGAACUCAGGUUGAACUAAAUUCUCAAGGUUUGCAGUUACUAUGGAAACUAAGCAACUCAAAAUUAGCAUAACACUACAGAUCUGUUAUUCAGAUGGAGAAUCAGCAUUUAAAGAAAAAGAAAAGAGUUGGGUAUUUUACAGCCCAGGUCAUGCCUGAAAAGGAUCACCAAACCAGUAUAUCUACACACUUAACAAAUAUAAAAAUAAAAUAAAUCUCCAGGCCCCCAGACCUCUAUGAACAUGGAUAAGCGUGGAAGUAGUUUAUGGAAAAGCAACUAAAAGGGAAACCAUCUGCCUAAAAGGCCCGGAUUCAACAAGUGAUCCAGUGUGAUUAUGGAAAGAAAUUUGCUUUCAGAACUGUGAGAUGUGAUAAGAUAUAUCCUGACACUUUGAAAAAUUGGUUGUAAUUCAACCAGAAUAAAAGCAAAUUCUGAAACUC